rnacentral:rRNA from 1 species
UACGGAGGGUGCGAGCGUUGUCCGGAAUCACUGGGCGUAAAGGGCGCGUAGGCGGCCUGAUAAGUAGGGGGUGAAAUCCUGCGGCUUAACCGCAGGGCUGCCUUCUAAACUGUCAGGCUCGAGCACAGUAGAGGCAGGUGGAAUUCCGGGUGUAGCGGUGGAAUGCGUAGAGAUCCGGAAGAACACCGGUGGCGAAGGCGGCCUGCUGGGCUAUGGCUGACACUGAGGCGCGACAGCGUGGGGAGCAAACAGG